rnacentral:lncRNA from 1 species
GGCCUUGCUCUUAUGUCAUCUGACUAAAGGUUUCAUAGACCAAAAAUAACCAUCCAACCUGUUGGAAUACUGAAACAAUUGCUGCCUGCUUUCCACACACUACAUAAAAUAUGUGGAUAUCCUAAAUUCUACAAAAAAAGAUUUGUAAGCAAAUCAAGCAAUACUGGGACUCCCUCUUCUCCAGAAGAGACAUCCUGGCCUCCAUGCAGAGGAAUGUGUGGAUAGACAUAUAUUUAAGGAAGACACUAAACCAGAAAAUACUACAUUACACCCUCUUAAAAGACUUCUAAGAUUGUUGUCAUGCCUACCACUGACAUUCAGAUGAUGUGUAUUCUUGAUUGUGAUUUCAUGUUUGGAGCUGAUGAAGGAGUUUGAAGUCUCCAGAGCAGCAAGGAGAGUGGGGAGUAGAACUCAUCAUCUUUAGGUCACUCAUCACCG